rnacentral:rRNA from 1 species
AGAGUUUGAUCCUGGCUCAGAACGAACGCUGGCGGCAGGCCUAACACAUGCAAGUCGAGCGCUUUAACCACUUCGGUGGAGCGAGAGCGGCGGACGGGUGAGUAACGCGUGGGAAUAUGCCCUUCACUGCGGAAUAGCCUCGGGAAACUGAGAGUAAUACCGCAUACGCCCUUCGGGGGAAAGAUUUAUCGGUGAAGGAUUAGCCCGCGUUGGAUUAGGUAGUUGGUGGGGUAAAAGCCUACCAAGCCGACGAUCCAUAGCUGGUUUGAGAGGAUGAUCAGCCACACUGGGACUGAGACACGGCCCAGACUCCUACGGGAGGCAGCAGUGGGGAAUCUUAGACAAUGGGGGAAACCCUGAUCUAGCCAUGCCGCGUGAGUGACGAAGGCCUUAGGGUCGUAAAGCUCUUUCGCCAGGGAAGAUAAUGACGGUACCUGGUAAAGAAACCCCGGCUAACUCCGUGCCAGCAGCCGCGGUAAUACGGAGGGGGUUAGCGUUGUUCGGAAUUACUGGGCGUAAAGCGCGCGUAGGCGGACCUGCAAGUCGGGGGUGAAAGCCCGAGGCUCAACCUCGGAACUGCCUUCGAUACUGCGGGUCUUGAGUCCGGGAGAGGUGAGUGGAAUUCCUAGUGUAGAGGUGAAAUUCGUAGAUAUUAGGAAGAACACCAGUGGCGAAGGCGGCUCACUGGCCCGGUACUGA